UUAGUACUCCCUCCGUUCCGAAUUACUUGUCUUGGAUUUGUCUAGAUACGAAUGUAUCUAGACUCAUUUUAGUGCUAGAUACCUCCGUAUCUAAACAAAUCUAAGACAAGUAAUUCAGAACGGAGGGAGUAAUUG
rnacentral:pre_miRNA from 1 species